rnacentral:rRNA from 1 species
AACGAACGCUGGCGGCAUGCCUAACACAUGCAAGUCGAACGAGACCUUCGGGUCUAGUGGCGCACGGGUGCGUAACGCGUGGGAAUCUGCCCUUGGGUUCGGAAUAACAGUUGGAAACGACUGCUAAUACCGGAUGAUGACUUAAGUCCAAAGAUUUAUCGCCCAAGGAUGAGCCCGCGUAGGAUUAGCUAGUUGGUGAGGUAAAGGCUCACCAAGGCGACGAUCCUUAGCUGGUCUGAGAGGAUGAUCAGCCACACUGGGACUGAGACACGGCCCAGACUCCUACGGGAGGCAGCAGUGGGGAAUAUUGGACAAUGGGCGAAAGCCUGAUCCAGCAAUGACGCGUGAGUGAUGAAGGCCUUAGGGUUGUAAAGCUCUUUUACCCGGGAUGAUAAUGACAGUACCGGGAGAAUAAGCUCCGGCUAACUCCGUG